ensembl:lncRNA
GGCACUUGGGGGUCAGAGGCACUUGGGGGUCAGUGACAUUGGGGACAGUGGCACUUGGGGGACAGUGGCACUUGAGGGUCAGUGACAUUUGGGGAGAGUGGCACUUGGAGGUCAGUGACAUUUGGGGUCAGUGGCACUUGGGGGUCGGUGACAUUUGGGGUCAGUGACAUUUGGGGUCAGUGGCACUUGGGGGUCAGUGACAUUUGGGGAGAGUGGCACUUGGGGGUCCGUGGCACUUGGGGGUCAGUGGCACUUGGGGGUCAGGUGGUGACACCUCCACUCUGGGUGUCCCCAACAGUCGGUGGCACUGUCCCUUGUGUCCCCUCUGUCCCCAGUGUCCCCACUCCCAGUGUCACCUCCCAUGUUGUCCCUUCCUACAGUGUCACCUCCACUCCCGGUGUCCCCAGCAGUCGGUGCCACUGUCCCUUGUGUCCCCUCUGUCCCCGGUGUCCCCACUCCCAGUGUCACCUCCACUCCCGGUGUCCCCAACAGUCGGUGGCACUGUCCCUUGUGUCCCCUCUGCCCCGAAUGUCCCCACUCCCGGUGUCCCCUCCACUCCCGGUGUCCCCAACAGUCGGUGGCACUGUCCCUGCUGUCCCCUCCACUCCCAGUGUCCCCUCCCAGGGUGUCCCCUCCCAUGGUGUCCCUUCUCCCAGUGUCCCCUCCACUCUCGGUGUCCCCAACAGUCAGUGCCACUGUUCCUUGUGUCCCCUGUCCCCAUUGUCCCCUCUCCCGGUGUCCCCUCCCGUUGUGUCCCAACAGUCAGAUUCCCCUGCACUCCCUGAGUCCUCCCCACUCCGUGUCCCCCCCCAGCUCCGUGGGGUUCUGUGCUGUGGGGCUGCGGGUGUUGGUGCUGCGGGUGUUGGUGCUCCCAUGGGUGUUGGUGCUGCGGGUGUUGCUGAUCCCAUGGGUGUUGGUGCUGCGGGUGUUGUUGCUGCGGGUGUUGCUGAUCCCAUGGGUGUUGGUGCUGCGGGUGUUGUUGAUCCCAUGGGUGUCGGUGCUGCGGGUGUUGGUGCUGCGGGUGUUGCUGAUCC